AACGAACGCUGGCGGCAUGCCUAAUACAUGCCAGUCGAACGAGAUCUUCGGACCUAGUUGCGCACGGGUGCGUAACGCGUGGGAAGUUGCCCUUGGGUUCGGAAUAACUUCUGGAAGCGGAAGCUAAUACCGGAGGAUGACGUAAGUCCAAAGAUUUAUCGCCCAAGGAUGAGCCCGCGUAGGAUUAGCUAGUUGGGGGGGUAAAGGCCAGCCAAGGCGACGAUCCUUAGCUGGUCUGAGAGGAUGAUCAGCCACACUGGGACUGAGACACGGCCCAGACUGCUAGGGGGGGCAGCAGUAGGGAAUAUUGGACAAUGGGGGAUAAUCUGAUCCAGCCAUGCCGGGUGAGUGAUGAAGGCCUUAGGGUUGUACAGCUCUUUUACACGGGAUGAUAAUGACAGUACCGGGAGAAUAAGCUCCGGCUAACUACGUG
rnacentral:rRNA from 1 species